AUGAGUGUGAUCUGCGUCCUCAUCUGGACUCUCCUCUGCUGCUGCUUCACAGAGUCCAGAGGACAGGUCACAGUGACUCAGCCUGGAGCAGUGAGCUCCAAUGUGGGAGGAUCUGUCUCUGUCUCAUGUACAACCAGUCAGAAUGUUUAUAGCAACAACUUUUUAGCCUGGUAUCAACAGAAAGAUGGAGAAACUCCUAAACUACUAAUUUAUCUAGCUACCACUCGAGAUUCAGGGACUCCAACUCGUUUUACAGGCAGUGGAUCAAACUCUGAUUUCACUCUGACCAUCAGUGGAGUUCAGGCUGAAGAUGCAGCAGUUUAUUACUGUCAGAGUCUUCACAUCAUCAACAGUCAGUGGACGAUCACACAGUGAAAAACAGUCGUACAAAAACCUCCCUCAUUCAGGCUGAACAGAAACUGAACUGACUGCUGCAGCUGGAAGAUGCUGCAGACACAGAUACAGUUCACUGAACAUCCAUUCUAACAAACACUCACAAUAGACACCUAAAAUGAAGAGAUAUGAUGACUUAUUUCAAUUUUUCUAUCUAUUUGUUAGCAUUUUUACAAAACACAAAUAUGUUUUACAAAAUAAAUAAAGCAAUUUUACUGAGAAACAUAAUAGAACUGCAUACAUAAAAUUGUGAUGAUACAAUUUAUUUUUCAUAAAAAAAAUUGUGAAUAUGCCAUUAUUUCAUCAUGAAUGAAAAUGUGUGCUUUUUAAAAAAAAAAUAAAAUGUGUCAUUAAAUUAAAUUUGCAGCUCAAAAGACACAUUAAAACACUGUUUGGUUUUAGAUUAAAAAUUCUGCUGCUAGAAUAGUGAGAUUCAAAGGUCUCCUUCUUGUGUUUUUUAUUGUAUUUUGUCGUUUAUGACAGAGUCACCAUAAUUAAAAGUAAAUUUAAAAAGAUAAACAUAUGAUAAAAAGAUAACAUUUUUUCAAAAGAUAAAGG